rnacentral:rRNA from 1 species
AGAGUUUGAUCCUGGCUCAGGACGAACGCUGGCGGCGCGCCUAACACAUGCAAGUCGAACGGUGAAGAGGAGCUUGCUCCUCGGAUCAGUGGCGGACGGGUGAGUAACACGUGAGCAACCUGGCUCUAAGAGGGGGACAACAGUUGGAAACGACUGCUAAUACCGCAUAACGUAUCGGGAUGGCAUCUUCCUGAUACCAAAGAUUUUAUCGCUUAGAGAUGGGCUCGCGUCUGAUUAGAUAGUUGGCGGGGUAACGGCCCACCAAGUCGACGAUCAGUAGCCGGACUGAGAGGUUGAACGGCCACAUUGGGACUGAGACACGGCCCAGACUCCUACGGGAGGCAGCAGUGGGGAAUAUUGCACAAUGGGGGAAACCCUGAUGCAGCGACGCCGCGUGGAGGAAGAAGGUCUUCGGAUUGUAAACUCCUGUUGUUGAGGAAGAUAAUGACGGUACUCAACAAGGAAGUGACGGCUAACUACGUGCCAGCAGCCGCGGUAAAACGUAGGUCACAAGCGUUGUCCGGAAUUACUGGGUGUAAAGGGAGCGCAGGCGGGAAGACAAGUUGGAAGUGAAAUCCAUGGGCUCAACCCAUGAACUGCUUUCAAAACUGUUUUUCUUGAGUAGUGCAGAGGUAGGCGGAAUUCCCGGUGUAGCGGUGGAAUGCGUAGAUAUCGGGAGGAACACCAGUGGCGAAGGCGGCCUACUGGGCACCAACUGACGCUGAGGCUCGAAAGUGUGGGUAGCAAACAGGAUUAGAUACCCUGGUAGUCCACACCGUAAACGAUGAUUACUAGGUGUUGGAGGAUUGACCCCUUCAGUGCCGCAGUUAACACAAUAAGUAAUCCACCUGGGGAGUACGACCGCAAGGUUGAAACUCAAAGGAAUUGACGGGGGCCC